rnacentral:rRNA from 1 species
CCUACGGGAGGCAGCAGUAGGGAAUUUUCGUCAAUGGGCGCAAGCCUGAACGAGCAAUGCCGCGUGAACGAGGAAGGUCUUCGGAUCGUAAAGUUCUGUUGAAGGGGAAAAAGAGCGGAGAGAGGAAAUGCUUUCUGAUUGAUAUUACCCUUCGAGGAAGUCACGGCUAACUACGUGCAAGCAGCCGCGGUAAUACGUAGGUGGCGAGCGUUAUCCGGAAUGAUUGGGCGUAAGGGGUGCGUAGGCGGCCUGCUAAGUCUGGAGUGAAAGGUACCGGCUCAACCGGUACAGGCUCUGGAAACUGGCGGGCUAGAGGGCAGGAGAGGGCGGUGGAACUCCAUGUGUAGCGGUAAAAUGCGUAGAUAUAAGGAAGAACACCAGUGGCGAAGGCGGCCGCCUGGCCUGUUACUGACGCUGAGGCACGAAAGCGUGGGGAGCAAAUAGGAUUAGAUACCCGAGUAGUC